UACAGAGGGUGCGAGCGUUAAUCGGAAUUACUGGGCGUAAAGCGCACGUAGGCGGUUGGUUAAGUCGGAUGUGAAAGCCCUGGGCUUAACCUGGGAACUGCAUUUGAUACUGGUUGGCUAGAGUAUGGGAGAGGGAAGCAGAAUUUCCGGUGUAGCGGUGAAAUGCGUAGAUAUCGGAAGGAAUACCAAUGGCGAAGGCAGCUUCCUGGCCCAAUACUGACGAUCAGGUGCGAAAGCGUGGGGAGCAAACAGG
rnacentral:rRNA from 1 species